UUUGACAUACAAGUAGUAGGGAAAGGAAACUGGACCGACCCUUCGGGAGCUUGUACAGGUGCUGCAUGGCUGUCGUCAGCUCGUGUCGUGAGAUGUUCGGUUAAGUCCGCUAACGAGCGCAACCCUCGCUGUGUGUUACAAGUGUCACACGGAACUGCCGGUCAUAAACCGGAGGAAGGUGGGAUGACGUCAAGUCAGCAUGGCCUUUAUAUCCUGGGCUACACACACGCUACAAUGGGAAGGGACAAUAGGUUGCGAAGCCGCGAGGCGGAGCCAAUCCAGCAAAACUUCCCUCAGUUCAGAUUGCAGGCUGCAACUCGCCUGCAUGAAGUUGGAGUUGCUAGUAAACGCAGGUCAGCCAUACUGCGUUGAAUACGUUCCCGGGGCUU
rnacentral:rRNA from 1 species